UACGAAGGGGGCUAGCGUUGCUCGGAAUCACUGGGCGUAAAGCGCACGUAGGCGGACUCUUAAGUCGGUGGUGAAAUCCUGGAGCUCAACUCCAGAACUGCCUUCGAUACUGGGAGUUUCGAGUCCGGGAGAGGUGAGUGGAACUGCGAGUGUAGAGGUGAAAUUCGUAGAUAUUCGCAAGAACACCAGUGGCGAAGGCGGCUCACUGGCCCGGUACUGACGCUGAGGUGCGAAAGCGUGGGGAGCAAACAGG
rnacentral:rRNA from 1 species